rnacentral:rRNA from 1 species
UGGGGAAUUUUGGACAAUGGGCGCAAGCCUGAUCCAGCAAUGUCGCGUGCAGGAUGAAGGCCUUCGGGUUGUAAACUGCUUUUGUACGGAACGAAACGGUCUUUUCUAAUACAGAAGGCUAAUGACGGUACCGUAAGAAUAAGCACCGGCUAACUACGUGCCAGCAGCCGCGGUAAUACGUAGGGUGCGAGCGUUAAUCGGAAUUACUGGGCGUAAAGCGUGCGCAGGCGGUUAUGUAAGACAGAUGUGAAAUCCCCGGGCUCAACCUGGGAACUGCAUUUGGGACGGUAUAGCUAGAGUACGGCAGAGGGGGAUGGAAUUCCGCGUGUAGCAGUGAAAUGCGUAGAUAUGCGGAGGAACACCGAUGGCGGAGGCAAUCCCCUGGGCCUGCACUGACGCUCAUGCACGAAAGCGUGGGGAGCAAACA